UACGAAGGGGCCGAGCGUUGUUCGGAAUUACUGGGCGUAAAGGGCUCGUAGGCGGCCAACUAAGUCACACGUGAAAUCCCCAGGCUUAACCUGGGAACUGCGUGUGAUACUGGAUGGCUUGAAUCCGGGAGAGGGAUGCAGAAUUCCAGGUGUAGCGGUGAAAUGCGUAGAUAUCUGGAGGAAUACCGGUGGCGAAGGCGGCAUCCUGGACCGGCAUUGACGCUGAUGAGCGAAAGCUAGGGGAGCAAACGGG
rnacentral:rRNA from 1 species